GGAGAAAAGAAGGGCGUCGUAAGGGGCAGAAUAUUGCGGUAGGCUACGCGCAUCCGUUCGUCUCGAGCGACGGUACGCGACUGUGUGUGCGUGCGUGACGGAGCGAGCGAGCGAGCAAGCGUUCGUUCGUAGUCUUUCCAUCUUUCUCUCUCUCUCUCUCUGUCUCUUUCUCUCUUUCUCCCUUUUUCUCGGAGCGUAAGCGAUAGAAGAAGAAGAAGUAGAAGAAGAAGAAGAAGAAGAAGAAGAAGAUGAAGAUGAAGAAGGAUAGAAGUAAUAGAAGGUUGGAGAAGAGAUGGCGCGGAAUGGAGGCGGAGGACAGUGGCGCUGCGGGUUGUGGUGGGGGGAAGAAGAAGUAGAGAAGGUAGGAUCGUAGUCGUCAGGAGUGGGGUGGGGAGGGAGUAGGCCGGGCUGUAGGACGUCGCAGCGAGAAGAAGAAGAAGAAGAAGAAGAAGAAGAAGACGAAGACGAAGACGAAGAAGAAGAAGAAGAAGAAGAAGAAGAAGAAGACGAAGAAGAAGAAGAAGAGAAGAGAAGAGAAAAGAAAAGAAGUGGUACUAGCAGCUAGCGGUGGCAGCGGCGGCGGUAGGAACGGUGGUGGUGAUGGUGGUGGUGGUGGUAGUAGUAGUAGUGGUGGUAAUGGUGGUGGUGGUGGUGGUGGUGGCUAGUGGUGGUGGUGGUAGUAGUGAGGAGCAGCUUAGGACGGAACGAGCCGAGGUUGGCCGAACGUAAUAGAUAGACGAAGAGAGCCGAACGUAUACGAUCGGAGCGGCGUGAGCUAGCUUGUGCGAGCGUGCGAGCGAGCGAGCAAGCAAACGAGCAAGCAAGCAAGCAAGCAAGCAAGCAAGCAAGGAAGGAAGCAAGCAAGCAAGCGUGCGAGCGAGCGAGCAAGCAAGCGAGCGAACGAGUAAGCGAGCGAACAACCGAAUAAGUGCGAGCGAGAGAACGAAUACGGCGCUCGAACUUGUGGAGUGUGAGUCUGGAGUAGUGAGUGAACGAGUCUGGACUAGCGGGCUACCCCGGUUCCGAGUCAGUCAGUGUGCCACCGGCGACCGUAGCCUCGCCGCGCGAGAACGUGGGAUAUAAUAACGCGAUCGAGACGAAGAGACAGACGCACACGUACACAUAUACACGUUUUAACUUAACGUACAUACGUGUAUAUACAUAAAUACGUCGGGAUAUACUUACACAAGAACGAGAAAAAGAAUCGCGAAAGAUCGUGUUUGAUUUUCUUCGUAAGAAUUAUAUCUUCAUCCGAUCGGUAUAGACACGCCUCGUUAAAUCGUUAUUUUUUUAAACGUUAAUCGAGAGAAAAGAGUGAAGAAGAAGUAGAAGAGGAAGAAGA